UUGGUUAAGUUAGAAAGGGCGCACGGUGGAUGCCUUGGCACUAGGAGCCGAAGAAGGACGGGACUAACACCGAUAUGCUUUGGGGAGCUGUACGUAAGCGUUGAUCCAGAGAUUUCCGAAUGGGGGAACCCACUAUCUUUAGUCGGAUAGUAUCCUUACGUGAAUACAUAGCGUGAGGAAGGCAGACCCAGGGAACUGAAACAUCUAAGUACCUGGAGGAAGAGAAAGAAAAAUCGAUUUCCUGAGUAGCGGCGAGCGAAACGGAAAGAGCCCAAACCAAGAAGCUUGCUUCUUGGGGUUGUAGGACACUCUAUACGGAGUUACAAAAGAAAGUUAUAAAUGAAGCGGUCUGGAAAGGCCCGCCAAAGACGGUAACAGCCCGGUAGUUGAAAUAGCUUUCCCUCCAGAGUGGAUCCUGAGUACGGCGGAACACGUGAAAUUCCGUCGGAAUCCGGGAGGACCAUCUCCCAAGGCUAAAUACUCCCUAGUGACCGAUAGUGAACCAGUACCGUGAGGGAAAGGUGAAAAGCACCCCGGAAGGGGAGUGAAACAGUUCCUGAAACCGUGUGCCUACAAGUAGUUAGAGCCCGUUAAUGGGUGAUAGCGUGCCUUUUGUAGAAUGAACCGGCGAGUUACGAUUUGUUGCAAGGUUAAGCGGAAAAAGCGGAGCCGUAGCGAAAGCGAGUCUGAAUAGGGCGCAUAAGUAACAGGUCGUAGACCCGAAACCAGGUGAUCUACCCAUGUCCAGGAUGAAGGUAAGGUAAUACUUACUGGAGGUCCGAACCCACGCACGUUGAAAAGUGCGGGGAUGAGGUGUGGGUAGCGGAGAAAUUCCAAUCGAACUUGGAGAUAGCUGGUUCUCUCCGAAAUAGCUUUAGGGCUAGCCUCGAGGUAAAGAGUCAUGGAGGUAGAGCACUGUUUGGACUAGGGGCCCUUCUCGGGUUACCGAAUUCAGAUAAACUCCGAAUGCCAUGUACUUAUACUCGGGAGUCAGACUGCGAGUGAUAAGAUCCGUAGUCGAAAGGGAAACAGCCCAGACCACCAGUUAAGGUCCCCAAAUAUAUGUUAAGUGGAAAAGGAUGUGGGGUUGCUUAGACAACCAGGAUGUUGGCUUAGA
rnacentral:rRNA from 1 species